rnacentral:tRNA from 1 species
GCGGGAGUAGCUCAGUGGUAGAGUAUAACCUUGCCAAGGUUAGGGUCGAGGGUUCGAACCCCUUUCCCGCU